CAAGGUAAUUAAGCUGGGUAUUUGCGCGGAUCAAAUUCACCUUCCUGAAAUGAGAAACAUGUGUAUAUAAGAUAUUAAGAGCCUAACAAACAUCAUUGUAUCUAAUUGCAGGAGAUCUUCACGUCAUUUUCCAUAAAGUAGAUCUUCACGUCAUUUUCCGAUUGAUAUCUCAAUAAAGUCUUUAAACUUAGGCAUUGGGUAAGGAAUGUCAUGUUGAUUAACAUCAUCAACCCUAGUUGCUCCGUUCAACCUUAAUUCAGUACAAUAAAAUAAUCCAGACAUGUAAACUAAAAAAAAAUGAAAUUUUAGCGUUGAUGAUGCUACCAGAGAGUGAUGUUGGUCGUUUUCCCUUCCAUUUUCCCGUUAAUCUGAAAGGAAGAUAAGUAAAAAUGGAAGGAAAGUGAGUUAAAGACAGGACUAAAAGGAAGAAGAAAUGGAAAUUUAUCACAUUUUGUUGAAGGUUCAAGCCUUCUUCUCUCUUUCCUUUGAAUGCCAAUGACUAAAAGAAAUAUGUUUCCUCAUCUCAUUUUGCAUAUGCAAGUAAAAAUUCAAUUGUAGAUAUAUGACCAAAAUGUAGAUAUAAGAACUAAUUGUAGAUAUCUGAGCUAAUUGUGAUAGAAUAGCGUGCAUCGUCUAUGACACAUAAGAUUAUUACUAACCACACUGAUAAGUAGGAAAAUUAAGACAGAAUUUGACCUUCAACAAAGACAUAAUUGCAUCAACACUUUCCUUUGAUGAAGCUUAUAAUAUUAUAACCCUCUUUAACUUUAUUGCUUGUUGAAACUCCUCCUUCCUCAAUGAUUUUGCAGAUACAUACAUACACAAAAGAUUAAAAAAGAAAACAAAUUAAUUUGAUUUGGGAUUAUAAAAGAG
rnacentral:lncRNA from 1 species